GAUGAACGCUGGCGGCGUGCCUAAUACAUGCAAGUCGAGCGAACAGACGAGGAGCUUGCUCCUCUGACGUUAGCGGCGGACGGGUGAGUAACACGUGGAUAACCUACCUAUAAGACUGGGAUAACUUCGGGAAACCGGAGCUAAUACCGGAUAAUAUAUUGAACCGCAUGGUUCAAUAGUGAAAGACGGUUUUGCUGUCACUUAUAGAUGGAUCCGCGCCGCAUUAGCUAGUUGGUAAGGUAACGGCUUACCAAGGCAACGAUGCGUAGCCGACGUGAGAGGGUGAUCGGCCACACUGGAACUGGGACACGGUCCAGACUCCUACGGGAGGCAGCAGUAGGGAAUCUUCCGCAAUGGGCGAAAGCCUGACGGAGCGACGCCGCGUGAGUGAUGAAGGUCUUCGGAUCGUAAAACUCUGUUAUUAGGGAAGAACAAAUGUGUAAGUAACUAUGCACGUCUUGACGGUACCUAAUCAGAAAGCCACGGCUAACUACGUG
rnacentral:rRNA from 1 species